rnacentral:rRNA from 1 species
AUGGAGAGAGAAGAAGAGGAGGUGGCCGAAAGAGAAGCUCAACCUAUACAAAGCUCUUCUGGACAGAAAGCAACAGAGGGUGAUGGUGAUCACCAAAAUGCUGGAGAGAUCAACACAGGACUGAAAAAUGCCGGACGAUGUUUAACCGAGUACAAUAGGUACUCUUGGGAGCAUAUCCAAGCGGCGACUUCAUCGUUUUCAAGUGAUCUUGUGAUUGGUAAGGGGACAUAUGGAACAGUCUACAAGGCUAAGUUUCAGCAUACAGUUGCAGCAGUGAAACUGGAGGUUCUGGGCAAGAUCCGGCACCCUCACCUGCUGCUGCUGCUGGGCGCCUGCCCGGAGCGCGGCUGCGUGGUGUACGAGUACAUGGAGAACGGCAGCCUGGACGAUGCUCUCCACCACCGCCGGAAUGGCAUGCCGCCGCUCGCCUGGUACGACCGCGUCCGGGUCGCCUGGGAGGUGGCCACCGCCGUCGCCUUCCUCCACAGCGCCAGGCCGGACCCCAUCAUCCACCGCGACCUCAAGCCGGCCAACAUCCUGCUCGACCGGAACCUCUCCAGCAAGGUCGGCGACGUCGGCCUCUCGACGGCGCUCCUCCACCACUCGGGAGCCGGAGGAGGAGGAGGCCAGCAGCAGUCCACGAUGGUGAGGAACACGACGCCCGUGGGCACAUUCUGCUACAUCGACCCGGAGUACCAGCGGACGGGCGCCGUGUCGGCCAAGUCAGACGUGUACGCGCUCGGCGUGGUAGUGCUGCAGCUGCUCACGGGGAGGACGUCGCCGCUCGGGCUCGCCCACGCCGUGGAGACCGCGCUGGAGGAAGACGGCGAGAUGCGGCGCAGGGACCGGCCCGGGCUGCGCGAGCACAUCCUCCCGGCGCUGGAGCGGAUCAAGGACGUCGCUGCCAGAGCCGCCAGGGAGACGAAGGCCCUUCUCCUCCGGACAGCAUCAUCGUCAGCAGCGCCGGGCCACUUCCUCUGCCCCAUUCUUCAGGAAAUCAUGGAGGACCCAUGCGUCGCCGCCGAUGGGUACACCUACGACCGGAAGGCGAUCGAGACAUGGGUGAGCAUGAAGGACAAGUCGCCGAUGACCAACCUCCGGCUGCCGAGCAAGAGCCUCAUCCCCAACCACUCGCUCCGGUCGGCCAUCAUGGACUGGAGCUCCAAGAACAGAUGA